GCUUGCACAGCAGCAAUGGGAUGUCUGAGCACAAGUGGCUGACUUCCGAGUGACUUUAUGAAGCACUUUUGUACUUUCCUUCUGCAUUAAAUUGGGAUCUGCAUCCUUGACAUUCACCCACCACACUCAUCUCUACUGAAGUAAACAGUGAUUACCACAGCUUAACAGUAUGAAACUGCCCUAUGCUCAAAUACCACAGAGGAGGGCAUAAGAAGCAGCACUGAACAGAAUAUGAAGGCAAAAUUCCCGUUGACUUCCAUGUUUAUCUGCACCAGAGGAAUUGGAGCAGAAUUGCAGACCAACAAAUGAAGUGAGCUGAAGGCAAUUUGACCAAUGUUUUCUGUGUGAAUUCCACAGAGGCUGAUGAAGCAUGUUAUCAGGUCUCCAAGAGGAAGGACCUAACAUCAGAUAUAAACGCAGGAACUGCUUUCUCUAAAAUUCAGCUGUUUUAAAGCCAGAGAAUUGUUCUUUCGGGGCCUGAUCCUCCAAGACCUCACAUGGACUACUCCACUGAAUACAAGAGAGAUUACUCAGGUCCAGUGUCAAUACAAUAUGAAGAUGUGGCAUUUGAGAGGGUUUUCUUUUAAAUGGAGGAACACCAUGAAGAAUGGAGCAGAAGAACAGAUUUUAAGGAUGCUGUCAAGUCAGUGGAGUUCUGUUUUUAGUGGUUGCUUCAGUGAACAUUCAACGCUGUCGGCCUUUCAAUGAAGACAGCUGCCAAACCAGCACACAAGGUAUCUCUUUCCCCCACCCCAUCCUCUUUGCAGAGCUUUACUAAAAAGGUCACAAUCAACAUUCAUUGCUGUCGGUGGGUUUAACUAUGUGGACAAGCUCACUGAACAAUGAAUGCAACUGUGGCCCCACUUUUUGUGAUCACAGUCAAGAGGAAUAUCAGCUCUGAAAGCAGCACUGAAAGUCUUUCAUAUAUGAAACUUUUCUGAUCAAAAGAGGAAUAUCUUCAGGAUUUUUUGUUUUAAGCUGGUUUGACUCAGAUGGUUGAGACAACAGUCGCUCCUUCCUGGAGCUGAUUACAACAUAAAGGGAGCUCAUUCUGCCAUUACUCUCUCUUACUUACUACAGAUAUUAACAAAAACUCUGGUAUAGAAAAAGCCUCCCUGUAUGCACCCCUGAGUACUCUGAACACAAGAGGAGAGAUGGUUGAAAACACCUCUAAAAAUAAAAAUAAAACAAUAAUAAUAAUAAUAAUAAUAAUAAAAAGAAUCUAUGUACUGCAACAUUGCACAUUCAGAGAGAUGACGGCUAUGUGUCUCCUUGGCAAAACAAGACAAACUCACGCCAAAAUUUCUUACAAAUGGGAGCCUUAGUUAAAGAAUGGUGAUAAUAUUCUUGAUCUUGGUGUAAUUGCUAUGUGAAGUUUAU